AACGAACGCUGGCGGCAUGCCUAACACAUGCAAGUCGAACGAGACCUUCGGGUCUUGUUGCGCACGGCUGCGUAACGCCUGGGAACCUGCCCGUAGGUUCGGAAUAACUCCCCUAAAGGGGUGCUAAUACCGGAUAAUCUCUUCGGACCAAAGAUGUAUCGCCAUUGGGUGGGGCCGCGUUGGAUUAGCGAGUUGGUAGGGUAAAAGCCUACCAACGCCACGAUCCAUAGCUGGUCUGAUAGGAUGCUCAGCUACACUGGGACUGCGACACGGCCUAGAAUCGUACGGGAGGCAGCAGUAGAGUAUACUGGACACUGGGCGAAGGUCUGACACAGCAACGCGGCGUAAGUGAGGCAGGCCUUAGGGUUGUAAAGCUGUUUUAGACGGGAUGAUAAUGACAGUACCAGGAGAAUAAGCUCCGGCUAACUACGUG
rnacentral:rRNA from 1 species